rnacentral:lncRNA from 13 species
AUGUUGUGGGAUCGGAUUUCCCUGCCUCGGCCCCCCGCCCGCCCGCCCGUUCCGCUGGAGAGGCGGGUUGUCCCGGAAAGCCAGGCCCCCGGGCCGAGCCGUCCCCGGCUGAAGCGCUCGCCCUGCAGGGAGCGCCGGGGUCCACGGCUGGCCUCUCGGGGUGGGCGAGGGUGCGGGGCGCCCCGCCUGGAGUCCGCACCCCUCCCCCAAGCCCCCCGGCUGCCCGUUUUCUCACCCUGGAGGGGAGUUGCGGGUGCAGGCACGGCUGCUGGGCGGAUCCUCGGAGCACGCCACGGGGUGCGGCCCGAGUCUCGGGUAAGGAGCCGAGAUGGGGCCGGGGCGUUUUGCUGGGCUGGUUGGGGGCAUAGCCCCCACCACCCGCCCUCCCGCGCCGGGGCUCUGGGCCGACAGGGGGCGUCUGCAGGCCGGACUCGCCACGCUCCCCGCGCCGGGGCUUUGUUCGCGUUCAAAUCCCUGGAGCUGGGGGAGGGGAGAACCUGGGGGGACCCGGGACGGGGUCUUGGCGGGGACACUUUGUUUGGGGGUGAGGAGGUCCCUAGUUUCUGCAUCUCCGCCCCCGGCAAGGGAAGGCUGGAACGGGGGAAGCCAAUCCCGCUGGCCCGCCCAGGUCAGGGUCCCUGGGGCGCAGUCCCAGAGUUGGGAAGGUUCGUGAGCCGCGGGAGCGCAGCGGGCGCCGGUCUUGCGCGGCGCGUCGCCCGCGGCCUGGGAGGAACACCCUCGGUCCCCGCCCCUACCUCCCCCCCACCACCUGCCCGCGCCGCCGGAGUCCCCGAUUCGACCCGAGCUCGGUCCCCCUGCCGCCCCUCCGCCAAAGGGCUGGUGUCUCGGAGGAGGCUGUGCGAGGAACAGGAUGAGGCCCUGGUCAUGUCCACGCCCAUCCCACCCACUUCCUGCCUCCCUCUUGGGCAACAAAGGGGCCUCGGGAAGCUGGGCCCCCUUCGCUCCCGGCCUUGCUCCCACUCCUGCCCUGCUGAUGUGGAACGGGGUUUGAGGUUCUGCUGGGCUAUUGUCUGCGCUGGGGGAGGGGACAGACCGGGACCGGGACCUCCGCUCGCUGCCGUCCCUACCACGUCCCUCUGUGGGGCUUUCCUGACCGCCUACCCCACCGCAUGCCCCUCGUCGCCCUAA